UACGUAGGUGGCAAGCGUUGUUCGGAAUUAUUGGGCGUAAAGGGCGUGUAGGCGGCUUCGUGUGUCCCAUGUGAAAGCCCUCGGCUCAACCGGGGAACUGCAUGGGAAACUGCGGAGCUUGAGUCCGGGAGAGGUGAGUGGAAUUCCCAGUGUAGCGGUGAAAUGCGUAGAUAUUGGGAGGAACACCGGUGGCGAAGGCGGCUCACUGGACCGGUACUGACGCUGAGACGCGAAAGCCAGGGGAGCAAACGGG
rnacentral:rRNA from 1 species